rnacentral:misc_RNA from 1 species
UUUCCGUAGGUGAACCUGCGGAAGGAUCAUUAUUGUAUAACCGAGGUGCGAGGGCUGUCGCUGACCCGAAAGGUCGUGCACGCCCGAGUGCCCUCACACACAUCCAUCUCACCCCUAUGUGCACCACCGCGUGGGUUCCCCUUUGGCUUGUUCGGAGGGGGGCUUACGUUUUCACACAUACUUUGUAUGCAGUGUAGAAUGUAUUUUUUGUUUUUGCGAUCACGCAAUCAAUACAACUUUCAACAACGGAUCUCUUGGCUCUC